rnacentral:rRNA from 1 species
UACGUAGGGUGCAAGCGUUGUCCGGAAUUAUUGGGCGUAAAGAGCUCGUAGGCGGUCUGUCGCGUCUGCUGUGAAAACUCGGGGCUUAACCCCGGGCCUGCAGUGGGUACGGGCAGACUAGAGUUCGGUAGGGGAGUCUGGAAUUCCUGGUGUAGCGGUGAAAUGCGCAGAUAUCAGGAGGAACACCGGUGGCGAAGGCGGGACUCUGGGCCGAUACUGACGCUGAGGAGCGAAAGCGUGGGGAGCAAACAGG